AGGAAAAUGAAGUGGCCUUUAUAGAGCUGAGACCUAAACUGAUUUAUUCAAAUCCCCCCCGAUCCAGCACCAGAGCACACAAGCAGCGUCGGGAUUGGCAGGGGCAGUACAACAGCAGGAAUUUCUAAUUAAAAUUCUCCCAAGCUGGCUAAUCCUAAACUCUUGACGCUAUCUGUGUGCUGUGCGCAUGUAUGAAAUCCAAAAGUUGACAGGAAUGCAGUGUUAAGGUCCCCGACUUAGAACUUUAAUUCACAAUUUAACAAGAAGUUAAAGCUGCUCCCAGCGCCAUUAACCGGGCCCGGUUAUGAGCACAAAAUAUAUAUAUAUUUUUUCAUGUUAAACAUGUAGCUGAAUGUAUUGCUGUUUUGGUGUAGCACAUACACAGGGCCAGAAAUCACCCACCUCUGGUGUUUGCCUGGUUCUGGGCAACGGAAUAUGUUCCUUUAAAAAUAUCUAGUUGGGGGGAAAGACUAAAAUGUCACCUUCCCCCGUUCUUGUUUUUGCACCUGCCAUUUUCCCUUGCUCCCAAAAAUGCAGUGGGACGGAGAGAGGAUUUGGCUGUUGUUUCAUAGCAUGAAGGAUUUUGCAACCAGCGCUAACAGUCCCAGCAACAGCCUGUUUGGACAGAAAUAAUUCGCAUUGUUCAGUCUCCACAUUCCAUUCAGUUCUCGGCCUCCCAGCUCCGGUCCCAGCCCCCUUCUCUCUUCCCAGGCUGGGCUGGUUCAUAGUGCCAGUUGGAAUAUGGUGACCUGUGAUGUUGACAGCUGGGGACCUACCACCUCAGAGACUUUCAGUGGUUAAUGACAGACCUAGGAGUGCAGCGCCCUGCCGUGGUGGUGGUGGUGGUGUCAUUGACUAUUUACAGAAUCUCCCAAGCCGGAGAACCAGACCUUGUGUGUGCCUCCCGCUCUGCUGCUGGCUGAGUGGGGUAAGUGGCGUGGAGCAAUCGGCCUUUGAGGUUAGGUGGGGCCUUCCAGAGAGGAGGGAGGCUACUAGCUGUGUCUCCUGCUAUUUGUGCUGAAGGCUGGGGCUACUAGCUAAUGGGGCUGGGGGUGAUUCGACCUGCACGCUUUGCCAGUCCCUGUCUUGAGCUGGGUUACAUAAAGAAUCUGAACUGCGGCAAGGCAUGUCCAGUACAAUAGGUAUUGUAGGACAA
rnacentral:lncRNA from 1 species